rnacentral:lncRNA from 1 species
CAAACGGAAGGUUGGUAUUGAUUUUGGGAGUUUUGGUCCCAAUAUUUUAGGAAUUAGGGGCCAAAAAGGGCCCAAAUAAGCAUUUUCUUGGUUUUCCCACUAUAACUUUAGUUUAAGUGAAUAGAAAUCUAUGAAAUUUUGACACAAGGUUUAUGACCACAAAAGGACGGUUGGGAUUGAUUUUGGGAGUUUUGGUUCCAACAGUUUAGGAAUUAAGGGCCAAAAAAGGGCCCAAAUAAGCAUUAUUCUUGGUUUUCGCACAAUAACUUUAGUAAAAGUAAAUAGAAAUCAAUGAAAUUUUAACACAAGGUUAUGACACAAAAGAAAGGUUGGGAUUGAUUUUUGGGAGUUUUGGUCCCAAUAUUUUAGGAAUUAGGGGCCAAAAAGGGCCCAAAUAAGCAUUUUCUUGAUUUUCCCACUAUAACUUUAGUUUAAGUGAAUAGAAAUCUAUGAAAUUUUGACACAAGGUUUAUGACCACAA